rnacentral:lncRNA from 1 species
AUAUAGCUAUUGUUGUGAAUGUCACAAGUAGAUAUCAGUCGAAUCCAGACUAAAAAUGAUGAAUUACUAUGAAAAUAUUCUUAAGUACUUAAGAAGGACUAAGGAGUUAUUUUUGAUCAUUGAAGGAGAGUCAGAGCUAAGAGUGAGAGGAUACAUAGAUAUUGAUGAUAGAAUAUCUACAUUAGGGUAUAUUCUUAUAUAA